GGGGCACCUCUCUCCAGUCUCCCAGCAGGCCGAUGCGCCCGUCUCCGGUGUUCAGCACCUCCUCUGACUGCGGAAGCGAGCCACACACAG